GGGCUUAUAGUUUAAUUGGUUAAAACUGACCGCUCAUAACGGUCACAAUGCAGGUUCAAGUCCUGCUGGGCCUA
rnacentral:tRNA from 5 species